GGCGCUUUAGCUCAGCUGGUUAGAGCGACGGAAUCAUAAUCCGCAGGUCCGGGGUUCAAAUCCCUGAAGCGCCACCA
rnacentral:tRNA from 7 species